AUUGAACGCUGGCGGCAGGCCUAACACAUGCAAGUCGAGCGAGCGGCGGACGGGUGAGUAAUGUAUGGGGACUGCCCGAUAGAGGGGGAUAACGACGGGAAACGGUGGCUAAUACCGGAUAAUGUCGGAUAACCCAUAUGGGAUUAGCUAGUAGGUAAGGUAAUGGCUUACCUAGGCGACGAUCCCUAGCUGGUCUGAGAGGAUGAUCAGCCACACUGCGAUGGAUGCCCGGCCCAGACUCCUACGGAGGCAGCAUAGGGGAAUAUUGCACCAUGGGCGCCAGCCUUGUGCAGCCAUGCCGCGUGUAUUAAGAAGGCCCUAAGUUUGUAAAGUAUUUUCAGUCGGUAGGCGUUACCGACAGAAGAAGCACCGGCUAACUCCGUGCCAGCAGCCGCGGUAAUUC
rnacentral:rRNA from 1 species